CAAACCUAUGCCCCUGCCUUCGCAGUGUAGAGCCUUAACCACUGGACCACCAGAGAAGUUCCAAAGCAUCGCUUUUUAAAAACAGAUCUAUACAAGUCUGGACAAAGAGACUGCCUGAGAUUCAGUCAUCUUGAACGUGCACAUAGUGUAAACUUGACACUUGAACUUAAAGGAGAGAAUCAUGCUAUAAUCUAAAUGCAAUAAAUGCAGCUAGCUAUUGAAGAUUAAAAAUACUACUUUAAAAGAAUAUGAAUAUGUGGCUUGUGCUCAAAUAAUACAGUUAGAAAACGUGACUGAGUCUUUGGCUAAGGCAAUGUAUGGGGGCACGUUUAGAAGGAAUGACAUCUCAGCUGGAAGGGAAAAGACUGCUAAUGUUCAUUACCCUACUGCCAUGGAUCCAGUCAUGUUUUUCAGUUUUCCGACUGCAAGGUUAAAGGAACCCUGAGGAUGGUCCUGCUGGGAGGCUCGUCUGAAAAAGAGAGGAAAAG